rnacentral:rRNA from 1 species
UGAGGAAUAUUGGUCAAUGGACGGAAGUCUGAACCAGCCAAGUAGCGUGCAGGAUGACGGCCCUAUGGGUUGUAAACUGCUUUUGUAUGGGGAUAAAGUUAGGGACGUGUCCCUAUUUGCAGGUACCAUACGAAUAAGGACCGGCUAAUUCCGUGCCAGCAGCCGCGGUAAUACGGAAGGUCCAUGCGUUAUCCGGAGUUAUUGGGUUUAAAGGGAGCGUAGGCUGGAGAUUAAGUGUGUUGUGAAAUGUAGACGCUCAACGUCUGAAUUGCAGCGCAUACUGGUUUCCUUGAGUACGUACAACGUCGGCGGAAUUCGUCGUGUAGCGGUGAAAUGCUUAGAUAUGACGAAGAACUCCGAUUGCGAAGGCAGCUGACGGGAGCGCAACUGACGCUUAAGCUCGAAGGUGCGGGUAUCAAACAGG